CCCGAGCUGUGCCGGAGCUAACGCGUUAAGUAUCCCGCCUGGGGAGUACGCAGGCAACUGUGAAACUCAAAGGAAUUGACGGGGGCCCGCACAAGCGGUGGAGUAUGUGGUUUAAUUCGAUGCAACGCGAAGAACCUUACCAAGGCUUGACAUGUCACGAAUCCUGUAGAAAUAUAGGAGUGCCUUCGGGAGCGUGAACACAGGUGGUGCAUGGCUGUCGUCAGCUCCUGUCGUGAGAUGUUGGGUUAAGUCCCGCAACGAGCGCAACCCUCGUUUUUAGUUGCCAGCAUAGGUUGGGCACUCUAGAGAGACUGCCGGUGACAACCGAGGAACGGUGGGGGAUACGUCAAGUCACAUGCCCUUA
rnacentral:rRNA from 1 species